UCGGACGAGAAAGGGGAGCAAUCCCUGAGUAAAGUGGCGUACGGGUGAGUAACACGUGGGUAAUCUGCCCUUUAGUGGGGAAUAACCCUGGGAAACCGGGGCUAAUACCGCAUAAGCCCGAGAGGGGAAAGUCGAAAGACGCUGAAGGAGGAGCCCGCGGCCGAUUAGCUUGUUGGUGAGGUAACGGCUCACCAAGGCUUAGAUCGGUAGCCGGCCUGAGAGGGCACACGGCCACACUGGCACUGAAACACGGGCCAGACUCCUACGGGAGGCAGCAGUGGGGAAUCUUGCACAAUGGGGGAAACCCUGAUGCAGCGACGCCGCGUGAGCGAUGAAGCCCUUCGGGGUGUAAAGCUCUUUCGGCAGGAACGAUAAUGACGGUACCUGAAGAAGAAGCUGCGGCUAACUACGUGCCAGCAGCCGCGGUAAUACGUAGGCAGCGAGCGUUGUUCGGAGUUACUGGGCGUAAAGAGUAUGUAGGCGGUUCUGCAAGUUCGGUGUGAAAUCUCCCGGCUUAACUGGGAGGGUGCGCCGAAAACUGCAAGGCUAGAGUGUGGGAGAGGAAAGCGGAAUUCCUGGUGUAGCGGUGAAAUGCGUAGAUAUCAGGAGGAACACCGGCGGUGUAGACGGCUUUCUGGACCAUUACUGACGCUGAGAUACGAAAGCGUGGGGAGCAAACAGGAUUAGAUACCCUGGUAGUCCACGCCCUAAACGAUGCGGACUUGGUGUGGGCAGUUCAUUCUGUCCGUGCCGGAGCUAACGCGUUAAGUCCGCCGCCUGGGGAGUACGGUCGCAA
rnacentral:rRNA from 1 species